rnacentral:rRNA from 1 species
CCUACGGGGGGCUGCAGUGAGGAAUAUUGGUCAAUGGGCGAGAGCCUGAACCAGCCAAGUCGCGUGAAGGAUGACGGCCCUACGGGUUGUAAACUUCUUUUGUCAGGGAGCAAUUGAGUCCACGUGUGGUCUUAGCGAGAGUACCUGAAGAAAAAGCAUCGGCUAACUCCGUGCCAGCAGCCGCGGUAAUACGGAGGAUGCGAGCGUUAUCCGGAUUUAUUGGGUUUAAAGGGUGCGUAGGCGGCGCGGCAAGUCUGAAGUGAAAGGCAGGGGCUUAACCCCUGAACUGCUUUGGAAACUGCCAUGCUAGAGUGCUGGAGAGGUAAGUGGAAUUCCUAGUGUAGCGGUGAAAUGCGUAGAUAUUAGGAGGAACACCAGUGGCGAAGGCGGCUUACUGGACAGUAACUGACGUUGAGGCUCGAAAGCGUGGGGAGCAAACAGGAUUAGAUACCCUUGUAGUC